GAAAAACACUAUUCAGAAUAGCAGACGUGAAGCAUGAAUCUGCUGCUCUACAUUUAGAAUAAUUCCUCCUUGGAUGUCCUGGUGAUAGGGCUGCCCAAUAUACUAAAUGUAGUUUAGUACUGAGAUCUGAGAACUUAUUUGCCCUAGCUUUUGAACUAUAAAAUCAUAGUGAGAAGUAUGUUGCUCACUAAGGAGAAGUACAUGUUCGCAUUCAAACUGGGUUCAGUGCAACAGCAGCUCUUCAGGAGCGUGGAAAAGGACAUCCAGUGUUAAAGCUACUCCAGUGUUUGGGUAUUGUUAUAGUACAGAAAACCUACUGCUUUGGAGUAAAUUUUGGACUCAUACAAAGUUUAAAAAAAACAACAAAAACACCUGCAACUGAAUUGAAAUGGGUGCAUUUCACAGGGCUCCUGAGAAAUCUUGGGGUUAGUCUUCUGCUGCUGCUUUCUUAUUUGCUAUGGCAACUGUCAUGCUAAGCUGUACAUCGCUACAGCCCUAGGCUCUCAGGGCAAGUGCCAACCCAUCCAAAAUAAGCCACUGAAACUGUACAAGCUUGUCUAAGUCAGCAGCCUCUGCUACCACUCUGAUUGCAGGGAAAGUACUUCUCACAACUGGUUCAUCAGACCCUAAGCCAAGACUCUAGGUGAUAGAUCACCUGCUGGAGGUGCCUCUUCCUCUUCACAAGGUGUGAAGGGAGCUUAGAGGAGCACAGACACCCAGAUCUCAGAUGAUGCAGAUUGACCAGAAGAGUUCCUCUGGCACCCAACUCUGCUAUGCAGGAGGAGGAAGGAAAGACGAUGAUGAACCCGUGUACACGCCCAGGAACUUAGGAAGACAUGUUUUUUUCCCAGGACCCUCCUCAUCCCAUCCCCAGAAAUAUCCUCACAAAGACAGCAGGGGUGGAGGUACUUGCCCUGGCUUCCACAGAAGCAAAAGGAAAUAAAUAAUUUCUACUCUGGGAUCCUACCAAACACCUCCCCUUACCAUGUUCCUGCCUGUCCCCUCCGUGUCUUUCUCCUGCUGCCACUGCCAAGUGCAUGGCAUGCGCAAGCCAAUAACAUGCCUCAUUGUACAGUGCAUCCCACAGCACAGGAAUUUACACCAGCAAAUCUGGAACAGCAGAUGCUGCCUAAUGCAGCCCAUACCUAUCUGCUGCUCACCAGUGGAAAUGUGGACAAUAGCCUACUGCACUUUGCAGUGGUUUGCCCUUGAAAAUAAAAAAGUUCUGCAGUAACACACCAUGGAUACUUCAGAAAAUUACUCAGCAAGCCAAAAAAGGAUGUUUUAAAAACUAAUCAUUUGCUAGCAAAAAGAGAGCAUAAUUCAUUUGAAAACUUUUCGGACUGCAGACUAGUUUUAGGCUUGGUUUGGAAACAGUUUGUCCACUGACCGGACUUUCUAGACUACUUAAACAAACAUGUUUUGCAAUAUAUCCCACUGUCUUUCCUAGAUGGAAAAUUCAUAAAUAAAUAAAAUAAAUAAAUAAACACAAUGUAUUUUAAAUUACUUUGACACACAGUGACUGGAUCUAGGCUAAAACUUUGCCCAGGAUUUAUAUUCAGCAACCCUGUAUGAAUGGAAUGAAGCUCAGAUCUAGGUAUUUGUGUCUCUGAGUUUCAGAGGUGUUAGUCAGAUUACUUCCCUGAUUCUAAUUAGAUUUCCAUGAGAAAUUUGAGGGAGGGGGUUGGGAGCCACUAUUUAAAGAGCUUUUUUAAUCUGUGUUUCCAAGGCAUUCCCUAUCCUAGCCUGGUCUCAUGCAGAGAUAAAACCACAGAAUUGCUAAAUACAAAUACUUGUGGGCUUUCAAGAUUCUUUGCUUUUUAGCCCAAACCUAAUAGGAGAGAAAGCUAAGCAAUGAGGUUGCAAGAUUUUCAUUUUUCUUUUUUUUUUUUUCACCCCCUAAAAAUGUAAAGACUCAUCUGUAAGCAUCUGCCCACAGCUAAUGUUUCUGAAAACCAGAUCUGGAUGAGUAAUGCAAGAAAAUUUCUCCUUACGCCAAUGUUAGGUAGUGGAGUUCCACAACACCCAAGUCCCCUAAGCCCAAUUUAUUUCCCUUCAGCCCGUUGCUUUUCCCACCGUGUCCCUUCACAUGCCUCUGAGCCACCAAAUUGCUUGCUGCAGCUGUGUGAGCGUAUCCUUUCCUAUGGGAAAUAUUCAUGUCUCUAGGAAUCACCAUAGCAGAUCCUGUGUCUCUUUCAGCCUGUCCCAAUGUAACAAGAAGAAAGAAAAGCAAUUGUCCACAGACCGUCAUUGCCCACAGUCAUCUUUACUCAUCAUGAGAGCCCCAGUGGUCAGUGAACAGCUGGACGUAAGUGAGAACAGCUCUGGGGAGCUUUGACUUCCAUCCAAGAUUGUCUUUGUCCCUGCCUUGCCAAAGGGAAAAUAUAAAUGUGGUUUAAAGCACAACUCAGCUGGGCUCAGGAGUUGGCCAGAAGCUGUGCUGGGUUUGUGCAGGGGGAAAGAAGGCUCUGAGGCAGAGUGUCUGCACUCCACAUCUGCAGACUCCCAAAGUUCCUCCUGGUGUGACCAGAGCAAAGGCAAGGAGCAGAUCCCACUUCCUACAUGCCAAUUAGCAGUGACCUCCCUGCUGCAAUGCAUGCAGCCCUCUUGCUGCACGGAAAGACAGCUCCUUGCAGGGACUGUUAAAUUUAUCCAUUCUCAUGACAUUUUUGCCAUUUUUUACAGAAAACAGCUUCUAGACACUUAAAUAAAGGAUGUUUAAAUUCUUCCCUGUACUGCUUGCUAGUUCUGCUGCCAUGUCAGCUGGUUGUAUAUUCACACUCAAGCUGGGGCCACACUCGGUUUCCUCUCAGUAUUUGCCUGGGAAUGACUUGAUGGCACAAGGCACCAAGUGGGCUGGCAAGCCCAAAGGGCCCCAGGAACAGAGCAUUUCAGGAGGGUGCUGGCCUGCUGGAUUUGUGAAAUAUAUCACCCAUUUCUGUACACAUCGAGUGCACAGAGCAACUUACGCAUGUAAAAGUUAUUUAAUGAUCAUAAGCAAAAUUCAUGGAAGUCAAGCACGUUUCAUCAGCAUCCUCCUUCAGGUCUGCUUCCCACCUCCUUCCUCUUGAAACAGCUCCUCACUGUUCUGACGAGGUUCACAAGGGCAUCUUUGACAACACUACUCUCACUUCAUAAAAUCCUGGUUCCUACUGCAGGCCACAGCUCUCUUACCUCCCUGACAGCAUCUCCUGCUGCGGAUCCAGCUGCCAACUUAAACUCCAUAAAAAUUAACUUGGAUUUUUUUCCUCUCCAACCUCUCUAAACGCUCAGAUUCCUCUGUCACCAUAAGUGUUUCCUCCACCUUCCCAUUCAAUUGCUCAGGCCCAUAACCUAGGUAUGAUCUCUAAUUCACCCUCUUCAGGUCAUGCCCUUUGCCUGUCACCUCCACUUUCAGAAAUUUUUAAAGAUUUAAUCUUUCUUGACCAAGCCUUAACCACCUAUGGGAAAGUCAGUGCAGAGGAAGGGUGUCAGGCAAGGUUUGACUUGCUGAGGCAGGCAGACACAAGCCAGCUGAAGCCUGAAAAUCAUGUAAAGGUAUUAAAGUGAUGCUAUAUCCAAGCUAACAGGGUCUUCUGAGAUAGCUGAGAAGCACGUGUUGAUUCCUGCCCAGAUCCCUAUAACAGCUUUUCCUCUGGCCUUCACAUCAGUUGCGUUGCUGUAGCUCACACACUUCACCUCCCCUCAAAUAUUAUUGCUCGACAUCCUGGUGUGGCCUCCAGCCACAGCAUCAUCCUCUACAUCCUGCUCCUCCUCUUCAUCAGGUGUGAGAGCUUUAAUGUGGCUAUCAUGCCUGCCACCUUAUCUCACAGCUCACCAGCAGGAGUCUUUGAAAUCAUGAGUCAGUCCCAUCCCUCUCGCCAGCAGAAAAUAUGAGACAAGCUUGGAAAGCAUGAAAUUAAUCAUCAGUUUUACAGCCGCCUUCUUGCUGCCUUGGACCUCGCAACCAUGGAGAAUUGAGGCUCAUUCACUGAUCUGUGCCAGACAGAGGGGUUUGCAGCAGGCUGCUGGCUCAAAGUUUUGCUACUUAAGACUAAAGUUUUGAUUAAUAUAGGAAGCAAAAAAUUUCUUUUACAUAUAUUACUAAACAACAAAGUGUUCAUAUAACAUGCAAGCAGCCAUUCUGACCCACUAGAAAUUUGUUAAACUGCAAGAUCUGGGGACUUCUUAGGUCAAACAGUUAACUAGACCACCUCAGUGACCAGCACAGAUGCUUAAAAUGAUGGGAAGUUUCGCUAGCCCCUCCGUAUUCUUAUCGAAGGAUUAAUGAAAACUGGUUUAUUUGCUUAUGAAUAGCUCCCACUUCUCUCAAAACUGCUAAGAAGAGUACAGCUUCUUUUUCUUUCUCCAUUCUCCCUCCCUGUUCCAGCCAGCACACACACACCGGGCUGAGCGAGGGGCUAUCUCUUAAUCUCUGCUGUGGUAUCAAGUUGCAGCGAGCUUGCAGCUUGGCUGCGAGUUCAAGCUGGAACCAGAUGACUUACUUCACUGCAGUUUCUCAUGACAUCUUGGUAAUUAAUGUCCUAGAUCUCACUCCAUCUCCUCUCUGAGGAGAGCAGCUCUUAUUUAAUUGCCUCAUAAUGUAUACUCAAAAUGAAUACUUGCCUAAUUGUCCCUAGACAGAUGCUUGGAUGAAAGCCUGUGAGAAAGCAUAUAGGAUCUAAUGCUGAAUAGAGGCCCACAAAGCACAAUAAAGCAAAAACUUAUAACUCUUCGUUACUCUCUAAUCCACCAAAACAACAAACUUGAAUUUUUAAGAUACUCCAGAGUUAUAAAUUCAUAAUAAAAAAUUGUUAUCUGCUGUUUCCUCUCCCCUUCAUCUAUACAGAAUAAGAUCUUGAGGAAGAUUUCUUUAAUGUGACAACUUAAAUAGGAAAGGAUAAAUCUUUGAAGUGCAGUGUGAUGCUUGAGUUAUGCUACUGCAUUUUGUGGAAUGGCAUUAUCAAAAUCCAAUGACAGUCUGUGUAUGGACACUGUAAAAUGCCUACAGAUCCAUAUCUUCACCUCUGUCUCAGUAGGAGCUACUCUGUACACCCUAUUCUGUUCAAAGGCAUUCAAACACUGGUGCGACAGACAAAUCAGCAGAGCCUCAUAUGAAAAGCCCAGUUUGAUUCAUAUCUUGCUAUGAUAUGUUAUUAUAUUAUUAAUUGUAUGAUAUUAUUACAUCAUAAUAUCAUAUUACUUACUACAUCACUAUUUGUGUUCUCUCUGAGAUCUCAGGUUCAGUAUGACCUGUCAGAGAUAGGUAUGAAGCCAGAAACCAUCAAAAACUCCAGGACAAGCAGCACCUAUUCUUAUUAUAUUUCAGCCUGCUGUCAUUUAAAGGUUUUAAGAAGCCCAUAAAAGAGCAAGAAACCUAAGUGAGGUAAUUUACUAACAACAUUUGAUAGCUGCAGCAACAACAAUGUUUCAUCAAUAACCUGUUCCACAAUAACAAGUUUGGCCACAAUGUGCAGAAUUUAUCCAUGGAAGUAAUUUUGUAAAUGAAACCAUUGUGAACAUGAGGAAUUACAUUUAAGUAUUCAGCGUUCUGUGACAUUGAAAAUUAUUCAAAAGCAUCACGGGUUCUAAGUAUUAGAACCAGCAUUACUGGCUCUAUGUAUUACACAGGCUCAGAUACUAAAGAUCUUCUAGUCAAUAGGUUGUAAGAUCCACUAUUUCUAGCCAUCUUAACCUGUUUGUUAAGUUCAUGAUUAAUUUUUCUUUAUUUACUGUUUUUAGCCAAGUAAAGAAAAUAAAAAUUUACAGUUUCACUGGAUUUUUUGAACGUUUUUUCCUAACAGAUCAACUGAAUUUUUCACUUAAAAAAUAAUAAUAUAUAUAUACAUGUAUAUAAAUUUUGUUUUCUUGCUUACUUUGAAGGGGAGUGAAGGAGGGACUAAAUUAAAUACUAAUAAAACUGCUGUUUAAGCUAAAACAAAAUUUGUUUUUUUUCAUUUCAUUUGAAAUGUUAAAAUAUGUCCAGGUCAACUCACCCCACUCUGCCAAAAAAAAAAAAAAAAAAAAAA